GAGACAACAGCUGGGCUGGUCUGCUGGCGGGGUCAUCUGACUGGCGGUUCAGCUUGAGCCGCACACACACCCUCUCCUGCAGCAGGCCACGCAGGAGCUGGUAUCCACACGAGGCACACUGCCAGGCUUCGACGGCACCCGCUUCACCCCCAGCAGUUCUGGGUACCCAUGUACCCACAAGAACACUUACGCACGUCAGCUAAGAGAGUGCACCUGCUGACCUAAAGCUCCCAGCCAGAGCCUCAGAGGGUGCGAGGCAGACAGCGGAAGACAGCUCUGCAGGCGGGUGGCAGGGGCUUCCUUGUAGCUGGGACUGCAGGUGCUCCCACCCACAUACUUAAUCCUGCCACCUCGCCUCACGUCCCCACGCUGCCCCAGGAUCACCCAGCCAGGCCACGGGCGGAAGGGACGCAGACCUCAGAAGGGGAUCAUCCACCUCAGACCAAGGCCUGGGGAAACUUGUGACCAGCCCUAGAGUCAGGGGGGGUUGUAUGGUGCUGGUUUUAGCAGAUCCCUGGUCAAACCUUGCUUCCUGAAGGAGGGUGAGCGGUGGGGAAGGUGGGGGCUCCCCCCUUACCCUCCACUUGGGCUCCCAAACCUGCCAAGCAGGUUGUUCCUUUUUCUGCAACAAGGGCAAAGGGAGGCCUGGGGGUCAUAGAGAGACCCAGAGGGGCUGGGACGGUGCCUUGAGUUGGCUUCUGUUCCCCUCCCUCCGGGGCAGCCAGUCACAUCAUGUCUGUGAGCAGCCAGAAGACGGGACCAUCCCUGACUCAGGAGAUCCUCAGCCACCUCGGCCUUACCAACAAGACUGCAGCUUGGGGCACCCUGGGCACCCUCAGGACCUUCCUGAGCUUCAGUGUGGACAAGGAUGUGCAGAGGCUGCUGAGGGCCAUUGCAGGCCGAGGUGUGGACCACAAUGCCAUCGUGGACGUGCUCACCAACCGGAGCAGAGAGCAAAGGCAGCUCAUCUCUCGAGCUUUCCAGGAACGCACCCAGCAGGAUCUGCUGAAGUCCCUGCAGGCUGCACUCUCUGGCAACCUUGAGAGGAUUGUGGUGGCUCUGCUGCAGCCUGCAGCCCAUUUCGAUGCCUGGGAAUUGAAGACAGCCUUGAAGGACUCAGGUUCUCCUGAGGAUGUGGCCGUGGAAAUUCUUGCCACCCGAACCCCGCCCCAGCUAAAAGAGUGCCUGGCAGUCUACAAGCACAAUUUCCAGGUGGAGGCCAAGGAGGACAUCAAAUCUAAGACCAGUGGCUUCUUUCGGGAUCUGCUCCUGGCCCUGGCCAAGGGGUGCCGGGAGAGCUACUCGGGGGUCACUGACUAUAACCUGGCCGAACAGGACGUCCAGGCGCUAAUGCGGCCUGCGGGACGCAGCACCGAGAGCACGUGGGUCCUUGUCUUCACACAGCGAAAUCCUGAACACCUCGUCCGAGUGCUGGACCAGUACCAGCGGUACACGGGGCAUGGGUUUGAGAAGACUGUCCGGGACCGUCUCCACGGAGCUGCCCAGGUGGCUCUGCUCAGCCUAGCCUCCGUGAUCCGGAACACACCGCUGUACUUUGCCAAUAAACUUCAGCAAGCGCUCCAGGAAACUGAGCCCAAUUACCAAGACCUGAUGCGCAUCCUUAUUUCUCGAAGUGAGACUGAUCUUCUGAGUAUUCGAGCUGAGUUCAAAAAGAAAUUUGGGAAGUCCCUCUACUCUUCCCUCCAGGAUGCAGUGAAAGGGGAUUGCCAGUCAGCCCUACUGGCCCUGUGCAGGGCCGAAGACCUCUGAGACCUCUCUGCCCCCAUCCCCACAUGACGUUCAAGGAUCUGAGAUUCCCAUGUUUGGCUGAGCCUGCAAGAGACCACCUGGGCCUCCAAAUAAGAUAACCCCUCACUGAGCAUCACAUGCUCCAGCUUCUUGUUGAGGCUGGAACUCAAGGAAAUUUCAGGCAAAAUAACUGAGGAACCAGAACGAGGUCAGAAAUGGUUAGAGGUAGCAAAGACCAUCUGUAUGAUGGGAGACGUAGGCAGAGGAUCAAUCUACCCGUCACCUGCCUGGGAAGACUGGGGUUAGCAGGGAGCAUAACCCGAAAUUCAUCUGUCCAAAGCAAGGACCUGGAAACCCACCUCCCAAAUUAAAGUACUAUUUCUCAAAGAAAACCUAUUAAAAACAGA